UACGAAGGGGCUAGCGUUGCUCGGAAUCACUGGGCGUAAAGGGCGCGUAGGCGGCUUGAUAAGGUUGCGGUGAAAGCCCGGGCUCAACCCGGGUCGGCCGUGGCAACUGUCGAGCUGGAGCACUGUAGAGGCAGGUGGAAUUCCGGGUGUAGCGGUGGAAUGCGUAGAGAUCCGGAAGAACACCGGUGGCGAAGGCGGCCUGCUGGGCAGUGGCUGACGCUGAGGCGCGACAGCGUGGGGAGCAAACAGG
rnacentral:rRNA from 1 species